CACGUAGGGCGCAAGCGUUGUCCGGAAUUAUUGGGCGUAAAGAGCUCGUAGGCGGUCUGUUACGUCUGCUGUGAAAACCCGGGGCUUAACCCCGGGCUUGCAGUGGAUACGGGCAGACUAGAGGCAGGUAGGGGAGAAUGGAAUUCCCGGUGUAGCGGUGAAAUGCGCAGAUAUCGGGAGGAACACCGGUGGCGAAGGCGGUUCUCUGGGCCUGACCUGACGCUGAGGAGCGAAAGCGUGGGGAGCGAACAGG
rnacentral:rRNA from 1 species